UUCCAUGCCCUGGUCCACAGUUCACAUUGUGAAUGUAUACAUUUGAGCAUCCUGUUUGUAUGGAAACACAGUCAUCCCCUGCAACAAUUAUUAGAUUUUUUAGAGCUCAGGUUAGCGUAAACACAAAAAUAGAUACCUUUUAUGUUCUUUUUAAGCAUUUGUCGGAAGCAUUAGAUCUAUGAGGGCCUCUUAUUAUCUUAUUAAUUAAUGAGAACCUGUUUUUAAGUAGAAGUAGACAAGAUGCUAGGGGAUCAAAACAAAAAGUUCUAGCUGUUAGUAAAGACAAGACAUGGAAAACUUGAGUGAA